UACGUAGGGCCCAAGCGUUGUUCGGAUUUACUGGGCGUAAAUGGCGCGUAGGCGGCUUGUCAAGUCACUUGUGAAAUCUCUGGGCUUAACCCAGAACGGCCAAGUGAAACUGACAUGCUAGAGUGCAGAAGGGGCAAUCGGAAUUCUUGGUGUAGCGGUGAAAUGCGUAGAUAUCAAGAGGAACACCUGAGGUGAAGACGGGUUGCUGGGCUGACACUGACGCUGAGGCGCGAAAGCCAGGGGAGCAAACGGG
rnacentral:rRNA from 1 species